AUUGAACGCUGGCGGCAUGCCUUACACAUGCAAGUCGAACGGCAGCACGGGAGCAAUCCUGGUGGCGAGUGGCGAACGGGUGAGUAAAGUAUCGGAACGUGCCCAGUCGUGGGGGAUAACGUAGCGAAAGUUACGCUAAUACCGCAUACGAUCUAUGGAUGAAAGCGGGGGAUCGCAAGACCUCGCGCGAUUGGAGCGGCCGAUAUCAGAUUAGGUAGUUGGUGGGGGAAAGGCUCAACAAGCGGACGAGCUGCAGCUGGUCUGAGAGGACGACCGGCCACACUGGGACUAGCACACGGCCCAGACUCCUACGGGAGGCAGCAGUGGGGAAUUUUGGACAAUGGGCGAAAGCCUGAGCCAGCCAUGCCGCGUGCAGGAUGAAGGCCUUCGGGUUGUAAACUGCUUUUGUACGGAACGAAAAGGUUUGGCCUAAUAAGCUGAGCUCAUGACGGUACCGUAAGAAUAAGCACCGGCUAACUACGUGCCAGCAGCCGCAGUAA
rnacentral:rRNA from 1 species